GCGGUAAUUCCAGCUCCAAUAGCGUAUAUUAAAGUUGUUGCGGUUAAAAAGCUCGUAGUUGGAUCUGUGUUUCACGCUGUCGGUUCACCGUUUUGUCGGUGUCUAACUGACAUGUCGUGGUACGUCCUGCCGGUUGGCGGCGUUGGCGUUUCCUUACGGUUGCGUCGCGUCUGCCAGUCCCAAUCCUGUCGCGGUGCUCUUCACCGAGUGUCGAGGCGGGCCGGCACGUUUACCUUGAACAAAUUUGAGUGCUUAAAGCAGGCUAUAAUCGCCGGAAAACUGUGUGCAUGGAAUAAUAUAAUAGGACCGCGGUUCUAUUUUGUUGGUUUUCAGAAUCCGAGGUAAUGAUUAAUAGGGACCGGCGGGGGCAUUAGUAUUGCGACGUUAGAGGUGAAAUUCUUGGAUCGUCGCAAGACUAACCUAAGCGAAAGCAUUUGCCAAGGAUGCUUCCAUUAAUCAAGAACGAAAGUUAGAGGUUCGAAGGCGAUCAGAUACCGCCCUAGUUCUAACCAUAAACGAUGCCAGCCAGCGAUCCGUCGAAGUUCCUCCGAUGACUCGACGGGCAGCUUCCGGGAAACUAAAGCAUUUGGGUUCCGGGGGAAGUAUGGUUGCAAAGCUGAAACUUAAAGGAAUUGACGGAAAGGCACCACCAUGGAGUGGAGCCUGCGGCUUAAUUUGACCCAACACGGGAAAUCUCACCAGGCCAGAACACCAGGUGGAUUGACAGAUUGAGAGCUCUUUCUUGAUUUGGUGGGUGGUGGUGCAUGGCCGUUCUUAGUUGGUGGAGCGAUUUGUCUGGUUAAUUCCGAUAACGAACGAGACCUCAGCCUGCUAACUAGUUCGUUCCUGCUUAGGAUCGGGACUUCUUAGAGGGACUUUGGGGGUUACUCCAAGGAAGUUUGAGGCAAUAACAGGUCUGUGAUGCCCUUAGAUGUUCUGGGCUGCACGCGCGCUACACUGAUACUUUCAGCGAGUCCACCACCUUGCCUGGGAGGGUGGGGUAACCUCUGGAAAGUGCAUCGUUAUGGGGAUCGA
rnacentral:rRNA from 1 species